rnacentral:rRNA from 1 species
AGUGAACGCUGGCGGUAGGCCUAACACAUGCAAGUCGAACGGCAGCACAGUAAGAGCUUGCUCUUACGGGUGGCGAGUGGCGGACGGGUGAGGAAUACAUCGGAAUCUACUUUUUCGUGGGGGAUAACGACGGGAAACUUACGCUAAUACCGCAUACGACCUACGGGUGAAAGCAGGGGAUCUUCGGACCUUGCGCGAUUGAAUGAGCCGAUGUCGGAUUAGCUAGUUGGCGGGGUAAAGGCCCACCAAGGCGACGAUCCGUAGCUGGUCUGAGAGGAUGAUCAGCCACCCUGGAACUGAGACACGGUCCAGACUCCUACGGGAGGCAGCAGUGGGGAAUAUUGGACAAAGGGCGCAAGCCUGAUCCAGCCAUACCGCGUGGGUGAAGAAGGCCUUCGGGUUGUAAAGCCCUUUUGUUGGGAAAGAAAAGCAGCAGGUUAAUACCCCGCUGUUCUGACGGUACCCAAAGAAUAAGCACCGGCUAACUUCGUG